rnacentral:rRNA from 1 species
AACCGUAGCAAUACGGGGACAGCGGCGCAAGGGACAGUAAUGUGUAGAUUAUCUGCCCUCGGGACCGGGAUAGCUGCGGGAAACUGCAGGUAAUACCGGAUAACAUCUCCGGAUCAAAGGUGUGAUUCCGCCCGAGGAUGAGUCUACAUCCUAUUAGCUAGUUGGCAGGGUAAUGGCCUACCAAGGCGAUGAUGGGUAGCGGGUGUGAGAGCACGACCCGCGUCAUUGGGACUGAGACACUGCCCAGACACCUACGGGUGGCUGCAGUCGAGAAUCUUCGGCAAUGGGCGCAAGCCUGACCGAGCGACGCCGCGUGUGGGAUGAAGGCCUUCGGGUUGUAAACCACUGUCAGAGGGGAUGAAAUGCAGGUGGGUUCUCCCAUCUGUUUGACAUAGCCUCAGAGGAAGGACGGGCUAAGUUCGUGCCAGCAGCCGCGGUAAGACGAACCGUCCGAACGUUAUUCGGAAUCACUGGGCUUAAAGGGUGCGUAGGCGGCGCGGAAAGUUGGGUGUGAAAUCCCUCGGCUCAACCGAGGAACUGCGCCCAAAACUACCGUGCUCGAGGGAGAUAGAGGUGAGCGGAACUUAGGGUGGAGCGGUGAAAUGCGUUGAUAUCCUAAGGAACACCGGUGGCGAAAGCGGCUCACUGGAUCUCUUCUGACGCUGAGGCACGAAAGCUAGGGUAGCGAACGGGAUUAGAUACCCCGGUAGUCCUAGCCGUAAACGAUGAGCACUGGAUUGGAGGGUCCUCCAUAGCCUUCCAGUCGCAACGAAAGCGUUAAGUGCUCCGCCUGGGGAGUAUGGUCGCAAGGCUGAAACUC